rnacentral:rRNA from 1 species
UACGUAGGGUGCGAGCGUUAAUCGGAAUUACUGGGCGUAAAGCGUGCGCAGGCGGUUGGUUAAGUCUGAUGUGAAAGCCCCGGGCUCAACCUGGGAAUGGCAUUGGAAACUGGCUAGCUGGAGUGUGGCAGAGGGGGGUGGAAUUCCGCGUGUAGCAGUGAAAUGCGUAGAGAUGCGGAGGAAUACCGAUGGCGAAGGCAGGUCUCUGGGCUGCCACUGACGCUCAUGCACGAAAGCGUGGGGAGCAAACAGG